rnacentral:rRNA from 1 species
CCUACGUGAGGCAGCAGUGAGGAAUAUUGGUCAAUGGGAGGCAUCCUGAACCAGCCAUGCCGCGUGCAGGACGACGGCUCUACGAGUUGUAAACUGCUUUUGUACCGGGGUAAAAUGCCUUACGUGUAGGGUUUUGAAAGUACGGUACGAAUAAGGAUCGGCUAACUCCAUUCCAGCAGCCGCGGUAAUAUGGAGGAUCCGAUCGUUAUGCGGAUUCCGUGGGUUUAAAGGGUCCGUAGGUUGUUUUAUGAGUUAGCGGUGAAAUACCGAUGCUCAACAUCGGGACUGCCGCUAAUACUGUAGGACUAGAGAUCGGAUGCAGCAGGCGGAAUGUGAAGUGUAGCGGUGAAAUGCAUAGAGAUUACAAAGAACACCGAUUGCGAAGGCAGCUUGCUAGGCCGGAUCUGACACUGAUGCACGAAAGCGUGGGGAUCGAACAGGAUUAGAUACCCGUGUAGUC